GAUGAACGCUGGCGGCGUGCCUAAUACAUGCAAGUCGAGCGAACGGACGCGAAGCUUGCUUCUCUGAUGUUAGCGGCGGACGGGUGAGUAACACGUGGAUAACCUACCUAUAAGACUGGGAUAACUUCGGGAAACCGGAGCUUAUACCGGAUAAUAUUUUGAACCGCAUGGUUCAAAAGUAAAAGACGGUCUUGCUGUCACUUAUAGAUGGAUCCGCGCUGCAUUAGCUAGUUGGUAAGGUAACGGCUUACCAAGGCAACGAUGCAUAGCCGACCUGAGAGGGUGAUCGGCCACACUGGAACUGAGACACGGUCCAGACUCCUACGGGAGGCAGCAGUAGGGAAUCUUCCGCAAUGGGCGAAAGCCUGACGGAGCAACGCCGCGUGAGUGAUGAAAGUCUUCGGAUCGUAAAACUCUGUUAUUAGGGAAGAACAGAUGUGUAAGUAACUGUGCACAUCUUGACGGUACCUAAUCAGAAAGCCACGGCUAACUACGUG
rnacentral:rRNA from 1 species